GAUGAACGCUGGCGGCGUGCCUAAUACAUGCAAGUCGAGCGAACGGACGAGAAGCUUGCUUCUCUGAUGUUAGCGGCGGACGGGUGAGUAACACGUGGAUAACCUACCUAUAAGACUGGGAUAACUUCGGGAAACCGGAGCUAAUACCGGAUAAUAUUUUGAACCGCAUGGUUCAAAAGUGAAAGACGGUCUUGCUGUCACUUAUAGAUGGAUCCGCGCUGCAUUAGCUAGUUGGUAAGGUAACGGCUUACCAAGGCAACGAUGCAUAGCCGACCUGAGAGGGUGAUCGGCCACACUGGAACUGAGACACGGUCCAGACUCCUACGGGAGGCAGCAGUAGGGAAUCUUCCGCAAUGGGCGAAAGCCUGACGGAGCAACGCCGCGGGAGUGAUGAAGGUCUUCGGAUCGUAAAACUCUGUUAUUAGGGAAGAACAUAUGGUAAGUAACUGUGCACAUCUUGACGGUACCUAAUCAGAAAGCCACGGCUAACUACGUG
rnacentral:rRNA from 1 species